CCCCAGCGCCACGAGUGGGAACCGGUAUUAUUGGGCCUAAAGCGUCCGUAGCAGGUCUUCUAAAUUGCUUGUGAAAUCGCAUAGCUUAACUAUGCGGAUUGCAGGUAGGACUGGAAGACUAGGGACCGGGAGAAGUCAGAGGUACUCAAAGGGGAGCGGUAAAAUGCGAGAAUCCUUUGAAGACCACCUGUUGCGAAGGCGUCUGACAAUAACGGGUCCGACUGUGAGGGACGAAAGCUAGGGGAGCGAACCG
rnacentral:rRNA from 1 species